AGGAAGGCUUCCACGACUUCGGUCGCUUGGGGGCCUUUUUCUUUUGC
rfam:Rhizobium sp. LC145 LC145_contig11, whole genome shotgun sequence.